AAAGGAAUAGACGGGACCCCGCACAAGCGGUGGAUCAUGUUGUUUAAUUCGAGGAUACGCGAAGAACCUUACCAGGUCUUGACAUCCUCUGCAAAGCUAUAGAGAUAUAGUGGAGGUUAACAGAGAGACAGGUGGUGCAUGGUUGUCGUCAGCUCGUGUCGUGAGAUGUUGGGUUAAGUCCCGCAACGAGCGCAACCCUUGUUGCUAGUUGCCAUCAUUAAGUUGGGGACUCUAGCGAGACUGCCAGUGACAAACUGGAGGAAGGUGGGGAUGACGUCAAAUCAUCAUGCCCCUUAUGGCCUGGGCUACAAACGUGAUACAAUGGCUGAAACAAAGAGAAGCGAGAGGGUGACCUUAAGCGGACCUCAUAAAACCAGUCUCAGUUCGGAUUGAAGUCUGCAACUCGACUUCAUGAAGUCGGAAUCGCUAGUAAUCGCAGAUCAGCAUGCUGCGGUGAAUACGUUCUCGGGGUUUGUACACACCGCCCGU
rnacentral:rRNA from 1 species